rnacentral:rRNA from 1 species
GACGAACGCUGGCGGCGUGCUUAACACAUGCAAGUCGAACGGAAAGGCCCUGCUUUUGUGGGGGGCUCGAGUGGCGAACGGGUGAGUAACACGUGAGUAACCUGCCCUUGACUUUGGGAUAACUUCAGGAAACUGGGGCUAAUACCGGAUAGGAGCUCCUGCUGCAUGGUGGGGGUUGGAAAGUUUCGGCGGUUGGGGAUGGACUCGCGGCUCAUCAGCUUGUUGGUGGGGUAGUGGCUUACCAAGGCUUUGACGGGUAGCCGGCCUGAGAGGGUGACCGGCCACAUUGGGACUGAGAUACGGCCCAGACUCCUACGGGAGGCAGCAGUGGGGAAUAUUGCACAAUGGGCGGAAGCCUGAUGCAGCAACGCCGCGUGCGGGAUGACGGCCUUCGGGUUGUAAACCGCUUUCGCCUGUGACGAAGCGUGAGUGACGGUAAUGGGUAAAGAAGCACCGGCUAACUACGUG